UAUUAGGUUGGUGCAAAAGUCAUUGCAGCUUUUGCCAUUAUUUUCAAUGGCAAAAGCUGCAAUGACUUUUGCACCAACCUAAUA
rnacentral:pre_miRNA from 3 species